rnacentral:rRNA from 1 species
GACGUAGGGCGCGAGCGUUGUCCGGAUUUAUUGGGCGUAAAGAGCUCGUAGGCGGCUUGUCGCGUCGACUGUGAAAUCCCGCGGCUCAACUGCGGGUCUGCAGCCGAUACGGGCAGGCUAGAGUUCGGUAGGGGAGACUGGAAUUCCUGGUGUAGCGGUGAAAUGCGCAGAUAUCAGGAGGAACACCGAUGGCGAAGGCAGGUCGCUGGGCCGAUACUGACGCUGAGGAGCGAAAGCGUGGGGAGCGAACAGG